rnacentral:rRNA from 1 species
GAUUUUAUGCUUGCAUAAAUGAUUUUUGGAUUCGGAGCGAGUGGCGAACUGGUGAGUAACACGUGGGUAACCUGCCCCGAAGCGGGGGAUAACAUUUGGAAACAAGUGCUAAUACCGCAUAAUUAGUUGGAACCGCAUGGUUCCAACUUGAAAGAUGGCUCUGCUAUCACUUUGGGAUGGACCCGCGCCGUAUUAGUUAGUUGGUGAGAUAAAAGCCCACCAAGACGAUGAUACGUAGCCGACCUGAGAGGGUAAUCGGCCACAUUGGGACUGAGACACGGCCCAGACUCCUACGGGAGGCAGCAGUAGGGAAUCUUCCACAAUGGACGAAAGUCUGAUGGAGCAACGCCGCGUGAGUGAUGAAGGUUUUCGGAUCGUAAAACUCUGUUGUUAAAGAAGAACAAGUGUUAGAGUAACUGUUAACACUUUGACGGUAUUUAACCAGAAAGCCACGGCUAACUACGUGCCAGCAGCCGCGGUAAUACGUAGGUGGCAAGCGUUGUCCGGAUUUAUUGGGCGUAAAGCGAGCGCAGGCGGUUUUGUAAGUCUGCUGUGAAAGCCCUCAGCUCAACUGAGGAAGUGCAGUGGAAACUACAAAACUUGAGUACAGAAGAGGAAAGUGGAACUCCAUGUGUAGCGGUGAAAUGCGUAGAUAUAUGGAAGAACACCAGUGGCGAAGGCGGCUUUCUGGUCUGUUACUGACGCUGAGGCUCGAAAGCAUGGGUAGCGAACAGGAUUAGAUACCCUGGUAGUCCAUGCCGUAAACGAUGAAUACUAGGUGUUGGAGGGUUUCCGCCCUUCAGUGCCGCAGCUAACGCAUUAAGUAUUCCGCCUGGGGAGUACGACCGCAAGGUUGAAACUCAAAGGAAUUGACGGGGGCCCGCACAAGUGGUGGAGC